rnacentral:rRNA from 1 species
AGCAGCCGCGGUAAUUCCAGCUCCAAUAGCGUAUAUUAAAGUUGUUGCAGUUAAAAAGCUCGUAGUUGAAUUUCGGGGUUAGCAGGUCGGUCGUGCCAUCGGUAUGAACUGGUCUCGCUGAUCCCUCCCUCUUGACGAACUGUGAUGCCAUUAAUUUGGUGUCGCGGGGAAUCAGGACUGUUACUUUGAAAAAUUAGAGUGUUUAAAGCAGGCUCACGCUUGAAUACAUUAGCAUGGAAUAAUGAAAUAGGACGUUUGAUCCUAUUUUGUUGGCUUCUAGGAUUGACGUAAUGAUUAAUAGGGAUAGUUGGGGGCAUUAGUAUUCAAUUGUCAGAGGUGAAAUUCUUGGAUUUAUUGAAGACUAACUUCUGCGAAAGCAUUUGCCAAGGAUGUUUUCAUUAAUCAAGAACGAAAGUUAGGGGAUCGAAGACGAUCAGAUACCGUCGUAGUCUUAACCAUAAACUAUGCCGACUAGGGAUCGGACGAUGUUAAUUUUUAAUGACUUCGUUCGGUCCG